CAUUCUGCUGGCUAGGAUAAUGGCAGAUGUGGUAAGGUUACGCCAAAAGGAGUGGUAAUGACUUUCUGAUUCAGAAGUUCCUGUUUGUGGCAAAGGCAGCUUGUUUUGGUGCAAUCUUGGAAGCUCAGCCUGGAGUCUGUUCCUUCCCAGUGAUUUUGUGAGAUAUUUAUAAACCUUCACUAAUAAGUUUCAGUUUAAAUUAGCUCGAGUGGAUUCUAUUAUCUGCAACCAAGGACCUUGGCCAAUACCUGCUCCUUUCCUAUCAGUCUGGGCUUCGUGAAGGCAGGAAGCACGCCCUGUUCAUCUUUGUAUCUCUAGUACUUAUCACAGUAUGUGGCACAUAGUAGGUUCUCAGUAAAUGUUUAUAGGAGGUAUGGAUUAUGGAUUCGUGCUUUCAUAAUCUGUCUUUGCUUACGUCUGUACAGCUCUAACUAUUUUGUACUUUUGUUGCAUACAAAACCGCUCUUUUGAUAAAUCAUUCAUUUAUCUGCUCAUACAGAUUAUUAUCAUUUCAAUACCUGAACACAUUUUUUCAAGUUCCUACUAUGUUCCUGCAAUUGUGCCAGGCACUGUAUAUGUAAAGUUAAUAAGAUACAUUCCUGAUUCUAAACGUAACCACAAACCAGUGGGGAGAGCCAUCAUUUUACUAUAUAAAUAUGAUUUGUAGCCUAUGCUUGGAAGGAGAAAGAAAACAAGCGAGGUGGUAUUUGGCCAUUCUAAAUGAGGUAUGAUAAGAAUGCUGCUUAUGGGAUUUUUAAAAUAUUCCCCUAUUGAACCAGAGUCAACUCUUGAUUAUUUGUACUGAUGGUGUGGAAAACAGCUUUGGCUGCCGUAAAGAAGCUCAUCAGCCAAAUAACAUUUAUAUGUCGCUUUGGAACUUUUUUCCAAAUGUGGAAUCUUAUAUUCUGGGAAUUUAUUUCAAACAAAAUGAUGCGGGAGGGCUGGAAAGACUUGGCUGGCUCCGGGAAGCCGUCCAGCUUCCCUGGCCUGCGUCUCUGUUCAGACCUUUCCUCUAACAACGUUAGUGCCGGGAACGAACUCUUCGUCCGUGGCAUCAAUGCAAAGCAUUGACCAGCUUGGAGCUGCCCGACUGGAAUCUUUCUUAAAGUUGGAAAUAUCAUUAGGUGUUUCAUUUCCACAGGGCUUCACAGUUGGGACACAGGGUUUAUAUAAAAUCAGAGCGAUAUGCGGUUGAGGUGACAAUGAAGGAGAGAAAACAGUAAACUUGAAAGCAGAAAAGAUAUUGCCUAAUCUGCUGACAAACCUUGGAUAGUUUUUAUGUCUCUCUAUUUCCUCCAUUGCCUUAUAAAAAAUGCUUAGUCCUUCACUCUGCUGGAGUCCCAAGUUUCUUCCUAUAAUAGCCAUUCUUGGCAUUCGCUUCUUGCCACACACUGGGCUAAAAGCUUCUUCUGUGUUAUCUAAUUCUAUUCCCACACUAACACUCUCUAAUUCCAGCGUUACAGGUGAGAAAACCACUCUGGGGCAGGCAGGAAGGAAACUGCUGAGGCCAUGUAGGCGAAGACUGAAACUGGUUGUUGUGACUCUUCAUGUUGUGCGCUCACUGCUGUUCCACAAUCAUCCAAUACCAAGGAACUUCAGUGGAACUUCCAAAAACUUCCUCUUGUCCCUGUUGGCAUCUUGAAGGGCUCAAAAUCUUUUGUAUCCUUAUUCUACUUCAGAAUCUGAUUAUUUUCAUCAGCUAAACCCCAAAGUGUAAUAAAAGUCUAUCUUUUAUAUUUUUACUGUAAUCCCACUUUUUUGAAGUUACUAUACCAUAAUAGAAAAUCACAGUCUUCCAUACAUGGCGGGUUUUUUGUGUGUGCGCGUGUACACGUGUGCGUGUGUGUGUGUGUGUGUGACAGAGAGACAGAAGUUGAGAGACAGGGAGAGAGGGAGAGAGAAAUUAAGAGAGAGGUGGGAGACAGACAGAAGUUGAGAGAGGGAGAGAGAAAUUUAGAGGGAGGGACGAGAGAAAGAGGAGGAGGGAGGGAGAGAGAAAUUAGAGAGAAAUGCUCAGAAAGAGAGAGGGAGAGAGAUUGAGAGAAAAACAGAAAUAGAGGCAGAAAGGGAGAGAGAAAUUUAGAGAGAGAGAAAAAGAGAGGAACUGGGAAGGGGGAGGGAAGGAAAGAGAAAUUAGAGAGACUAUCUGCUGUGUGGUUUCUAGAAUAUGACAGGUAUCUGCAGUAAUAACAUCUCAUAUGCCUUUUUGUUUACGAAGGCAUCUUGAAUUUCUUACUUAUUUCUAACCUUUACCGCAAAGCUAUGGAACAGGUAUUAACAGUCUGUGUUACCAGGCUCAGGAAUGGCGAGCCACGCAGCGGUGACGAUGGAGCGGUAGGUGGCAGAGCCCAGACGCUGUCCUCCGACCCCGCCCCGCAGUGCUCGUCAGAUGCCACCGCUGCCUCCACCUGGGCUGCUCCAGCCCGGAGAACAGCCCAGCCGAAGUGACAGACAGACCGUCGAAAACGGGGUCACGAAGCUCAACUGUAAUUUCCCACAAAGGGAUAAAUCUUCGAAACAAGCCACAAUUAAGUUUCCAGCGGCAUAAAUGUUCCUUACCCUGGGUUUCAAAAACACAAUAGCAGCCAAAUGGCAGCUCUUUGAGCAAGCAGAAGAACAGAGUGUAAUUUCACAAUUUAGGACUCACUUUUUUUUUUCUAUGUUUCUCAAGUAGUUUCCUGGGAGGGUCUGUGCAUUUUGGGGGUGGCUGGUACUAACACGUGCUGGCACUUUAUGGCCUCCGGGCUGUGCAGAGAGUCUGCACGGGCUGCCGGGUAAUUCUCCUCCUUGGCUAAUUGCUGCAAACUUCCUAUUCGCUGUAAAUGGCAGAUGACAAAGCUCCCCAAAGAAACUUCUUAUGGCUGUAUUUGUCCAUAUCAAGGGAAAUUAAAAUACCCACAUUUACUGCUCUGAAGCACGAGGCUUCAUUUGCAUAUUUUAUUGAUUCCCACACAUGCGGUUUUCUGUUCAAGGAGGAAAAUGCAUCAAUCUGUCAGCACUUACCUGCAUAGCCACGUGAGCACUUAGGCUGGUUUGGAAACCCUUGGGAGGCGAAAUAACGUUGCAGAGACCCUGAGAAUACUGUUUACUUUAUAGCUUUCUCUACAGCCUUCAUAGUUACUAGACUCAAAAUUUGCCCAGUAAAAUCAGUCUCACAAUCAUAAUCAUUCAGCAACGAAGAGUCCCCCUACACAAUUUUUUUUUUUUCAGAUCUGAAAAUUCCCUCACAAGUGUGAGAAAACCCAUUCAAAGGAAAAGGCAAGGAGAGAGUUUAUUCCAUUUUCUUGGGCCUAUUGACUGACUUUUUUAGGUAGGCAGUUUCUGAACAGGGUUUAGGUAGAUGGGGAAAAAAUAUGUGUGUACAUACACACACACAUAUGCAUAUGUGUGUGUGUGUCUAUGUGUCAAUCUCUAUAUAAUUAUCUUUUCUUAAUUUAUUGGGAAAAGGAGAAUCACCACCCUCCUUUGAUUACCUUUCUAGUACUGGGAAGUCCUUUAUUGCACAAGUCAGGACUCAAGGACGCUUAGGGACAGGUGAUAGGAAAUCCAAUUUGAAUUAGUUUAAGCAACAAUAAAAGAGAAAGUUGGAUUUAUUUAGCUCAUUUAGAUGGAAAGCCCAAACAAAGAUGAAGUUUCAGGUAUGGCUAGGUUCAGGGGAACAUACACUAGGUCAUCAGGGCUCGGUCUCUCUUGCUCCAUCUUUUAGUGUUGAUUUCAUUCUCAGGCAGAAAUUCUAUACCUGUUGGCUUCAAACAGAUCCAAGCUUACAAUUUACCAGUUUAGCAACCCUGGUGAAAAGAGAGCCUUUUUAUUAAUAGUUUCAAUAAAUAGUCUUGGGAUUGGUUCUUACUUGACCAGUUUGGUUCAUGCAUUCAUCCCUGAACCAAUGACUAUGACCAGGGGAAUGGAACAUGCUGUGAGGCUGGGCCUGAGCCAGGUGCCCACACUUAGAGAUUGGAAUGGGGUCAAUCCCACUUGUACCAUGUGACCUGAGAAUGGGGGAGGGGUGGUUUCCCAGGGCAAGAUACAAGUUCUGCCGCCAGCAGGGAGAACAGAUGCUGGGUGGGCAAAACCUGCAAAUUUCCAUUGCAUUUAUAGACUCAUUUUAAGGAUAGAUUUGAAGAUUAUUUUUCUUUUCUCUGCUUAAGUUCUGCUGUUCUCCAUAAUAAUAAUCUUAAUAGGAAUCUUAUUAGGAGGAGAGAUCAUCAGCCUUACCUCUCUACUUAAACAAUCCUACCCUUUUACCUGGUGUAUAGACAAGAUUAUUAUUCAAAAAUGUUUUCUGCAUUAAAAAAUUGCAUAGAACUAAACACACACAUACACACAAAUGAGUGCAUGCAAAACCAGUGACGUCUGAAGAAGGCUGGUAGAUUGUUCCAAUGUCAGUUUCCUGGUUGUGAUAUUGUACUAUGUUACCACGUGGAAACACUGGGUGAAGGGUAUACAGGAUCUCUUUGUAUUGUUUCUUACAAUGCCUAUAAAUCUACGAUUAUCUUAAAAUAAAAACAUUUAAAAAAUGUUGUUGCCUUUUCCUGGAGAAGUUCGUGUUUCCCAACCGCAUUGAUGGCAGGCUUGGUCACAGUUGUUGCUUUGGCCAAUGAGAUGGGAGCAACAACACUUCUGAGCAGAAGCUUUUAGAGCACAUUCUCAUUUCCCCCCACAUUCCUUGCUUUCUCCUUUCCCGUUGCCAUGAUGACGGGCAAUGUUCCAGACAGAGGGGGCUGGGCCAGUCAGACUAUCUCCAAGAGGAGCACAACUAGCUUGCAUGGACCCGUAGUGCAAAUAAGAAGGCAAUCUUUGCUGCUAUGAACUAUUAAGAUUUGAGGGUCAUUUGUUACUGCAGCAUAACCUAGCACAUUGCUUACCUAGCUGCUUCAGAAUCAUCAGGAGCACUUGUUAAAGCACGUUUCUGAGCCUUGCCCAAGAGAUUCUGACUUCACACUUUUGUGGUUAGCCUGAGAAUUGGCAUUUCUAAGCAAACAUUGGGGUUGUGUUGGUGUUGCUCCUCCAGGGAUAACAUUUUGAGUAGCGUGUCCUAGCGUAUCCUGACUGAUACACAUUCUCUGAUUCUCUAGGGAGUCUCCAUUCUUCCCUUGAACAUUCCCAAGUUUUCAUGUUCCUUCUACCCCAAAGCCCAGAACUGGGCCUAGAAUAGUGCCUAACACAGUGAUUUUGUUAAAUAAAUAAAUGGCCCAGUGUUCUUGAUAGGGCCUUAUCUAUAAGCUCAAGUGCAAAAAUAGUCUUUACAGUCUUACAAUCCCAGUAAAAUAAAUGCUAGUGUUCCUUAAAAAGGGUGCAUAUUUUUUUUCCUGAUUACAAAAUAAGUAAAUGUUUAUUGUAGAAAAUUUUAUUUUUGAACAUGAAAAUCAAAAUUCAAACCAUAAUCUAACCAUUCAGGGGAGCUACUAUUACAACUUUGGUACAUACUCUUCCUGUUAACAACCUGUGUUAUGCAGAUGACACAACCUUGCUAGCUGAAAGCCAAGGGGACUUGAAGUGCUUACUGAUGAAGUUCAAAGACUACAGCCUUCAGUAUGGAUUACACCUCAACAUAAAGAAAACAAAACUCCUCAUCCCUGGACCAGUAAGCAACAUCAUGGUAAACGGGAAAAACAAUUGAUGUUGUCAAGGAUUUUGUUUUACUUGGCUCCACAAUCAACACCCAAUGAAGCAGCAGUCAAGAAAUCAAACGACGCAUUGCAUUGGGCAAAUACACUGCAAAAGACUUCUUUAAAGUGUUAAAAAGCAAAGAUGUCAUCUUGAAGACUAAGGUGGAACUGACUCAAGCCAUGGUGUUUUCAAUUGCCUCACAUGCCUGUGAAAGCUGGACAAUGAAUAAGGAAGACAGAAGAAGAACUGACACCUUUGAAUUAUGAUGUUGGCAAAGAAUACUGAAUAUACUAUGGACAGCCAAAAGAAUGAACAAAUUUGUCUUGGAAGAAAUGCAACCGGAAUGCUCCUUAGAAGCAAGAAUGGAGAGAAUACAUCUCACAUACUUUGGGCAUGUUAUCAGGAGGAAUCAAUCCCUGGAGAAGGACACCAUGCUUGGUAAAGUAGAGGGUCAGUGAAAAAGAGGAAGACCCUCAAUGAGAUGGAAUGGCACAGUGACUGCAACAAUGGGCUCAAGUAUAACAAGGAUUGUGAGGAUGGUGCAAGACCGGACAGCGUUUCCUUCUAUUUUACAUAGGGUCGCUAUGAGUCGGCACUGACUCAACAGCACCUGACAACAACUUCCUGUUUUUGGUGUAUAUAAAAACCCCAACCAAACCUGGUGCUGUUGAGUGGAUUCUGCCUCAUAGUGACACUACAGGACAGAGUAGAACUGCUCCAUGUGGUUUCCAAGGAGUGGCUGUUGGAUUUGAGCUGCAGACAUUUUGGUUAGUAGCCAAGCUCUUAACCACUGUGCUACCAGAGUAUAUGUAGUUAUAUAAUAUUGUGAUCAUUCAAUACAUUUCAGGAAAAAAGUGAAGUUGUUGAAGAUUUCAUUCUACUUGGAACAAUAAUCAAUGUUCAUAGAAACAGCAGUCAAGAAGUUAAAUGACUUAUUGCAUCGGGCAAAUCUGCUGCAAAAGACCUCUUUAAACUCUUAAAAAGCAAAGAUGUCACUUUGAUGACUAAGGUGCAGCUGACCCAAGCCAUAGUCUUCUCAAUCUCCUUAUAUGCAUGUGAAAGCUGGCCAAUAAAAAAUAAAGACAGAAUAAGAAUUGACGCAAUCGAAUUACGGCGCUGGUGAAGAAUGUUGAACAUACUGUGGACUCUCAGUAGAAUGAACAAAUCAGCCUUAGAAGAAUGUGCUCCUUAGAAAAGAGGAUAGAGAGACUUUGGCUUUCUUACUUUGGACAUGUCAUCAGGAAAGAGCAAUCACUAGAAAUAGACAUCAUGUUUGGUAGUAAAGAGGACCCUCACCGAGAUGGACUGACACAUAGCCACAACAACAGACUCAAACACAUCGACGAUCAUGCAGGUGGCGCAGGACCGGGCACCAUUUCGCUCUGUUACAUCCGAGGUCAUCAUGAGUCAGAGCUGAGUCAACACCACCUAACAACAAUAAUCGUGCAUUAGCAGAUGAGGACACUGCUCGGUAAAUUGUUUUACUAAUAUAUUGUGAAUAUUUCCCCAUGUUAUUAAAUAACAUUCUGGCAGAUCCUUUUUCAUGGCUGCAUAGUGCCACCAUGGAGCCCUGGUGGCACAGUCGUUAAGAGCUCUGCUGCUAACCAAAAAGUCGGCAGUUCGAAUCCUCCAGACGCUCCUUGGAAACCCUAUGGGGCAGUUCUACUCUCUCCUGUAGGGUCGGUAUGAGUCAGAAUUGACUUGAUGGCAACAGGUAUAGUGCCAUCCCUUAAAGGUGAACUGUGUUGAUGCACUCUUGAUACUGGCUCAUGAUCAGCCUGUGGUUUACUCUGACCUCUUUCCCUUUACUCAUAACUGAUUUCCUCCAAUCCUUUUCUAUCUUGUGUUUGUAUAGUUAGCAGUUCCUUCUGAAAAGAUUUCACCAGGCAUGUGUCACUGAUGAUCCUUAUUUUGCUUGUUUAUGAUGCUGUCUCCACAGAGUUCAAAGGGCCAGUAAGUGACUAUGAGACCCUUGUCUGUGAAUUAUGGAGUCGUUUCUUACAAUAACACCUGAUGGACCUCUCAUGCAGGUGGCACGCCUGCCUUCACCACUCUCCCAGGCUGAGCUCCCUUCUCUCUACUGUGGACCUUUGACCUGAGAGGGCCUGUGCAGAAGCCUUGGAGAGGAGCACCAGUUCCGCCUAUUAUCAGGACGAGCGUGGAGAGAUCAGUGCUGACCCUCGUCCAGAGUCUCAACAAUGGAGGCAGGUUACCGUUGAAAGCCCAACAAGGGACGGAAGGAAGUAGGCUUUAUUGAGCACUUGCUGUGUGCUGGGCCCCGUAAGAAGGGCUUUUACAUACACCGCCCAAUCACAUUUCAAUCCUAUGAGAGCCAACCGUUAGUUUUCACAGUGUCAUAAAUGAGGAAACUGAGAGGUCAUGAGGUUAGGUGCUAUACAAGUGACUAAAAGAAAGGAGAGGAAAAACUUGUUUAAUUUCUGGGGUUUCUUACAUCAGGCAAAUAAAGGAAUGAGCUUUUAUAUGAGGACAGACUGAGGUACUGACACUUUCUAGCCUGGAAAGUCUAAAGAAGGAUGUGUUCAAGAACCAUAACAUGGAAGAAAAUCUGCUGGUUGACCAUGAACUGAUUCAUCAAAUCCCAGGUCCCUGGAAUGGAAGAGACCUGAUAUACUCUACGUGGCCAGGGUCAGGUAGCGGUUAGUCCCUCAACCCCUGGAGCCCACCACUCAUUUCCACUUUCUUUUCUUUCUUGAGAACUCUGCAUCCUUCAGCAAGCCAUUUAACCUCCACCUCAGUUUCCUCAUCUGUUUGACAAACGAUGAUAAUAAUGACACCACAUCGUAAGGUUUCUAUAAGGAUUAAAAGAAAGAACCUAUAUAAACCUUGCGGAGUGCCUAGUACCCUAGUACCAUUACAGUAAUUGGGGGGCAUGUUUUACACAUGGAAGAGGUAACUGCAGAUCAAAAGGAAGCUUAUUUUACAGGGUGGGAAGUAAACUUGCUCAACUUACUGGCCCAGAAGGUGGCAAAAACUAAAAAUAGAAUUAAAAAAAGUUAGGUCAUGGUUGGUUAACAUUUUCUCUACCGUAAGGGGAAGAAAAUCUGUUUCUGGCCCCAUGUAAGUGGAAGAUGCCGUCAUCAGCUGUGAAGGGAAUUCGGUUAGUCACUGGUUGCCAUGCCGAUGCCAACAUCCCCCUCCGCCUACUCUACCAUCAACACAUUUGAAUAAGUAACGAUGAUCAUGGCAUGUACUAAAAUGCUAUUUUUAAAAAAGAACUUCUGUCAAAAGUCUGGUUUUUAGAAAGAAUUGCUAUAGGCCGGAUAAAGAUUAGCAUAAAGUCCCUAAAAUGCUUUGAGUAUAAUCGCAGAAGAGGAAUCUUCUGUAGAUUAUGAAAGGACUCUCAGGGGUCUUCUUUUUAGGGGGAGUGGUCCCCUCCUAACCUUCCAAGCUUGACCAAAUGUCCCCUGGUGGUGUCAGAAACUGAGCUUUGAAUAGACCAAGUCCCCAGUUCAAGACUGCCCUCCCCACAUGCUGAAGCCUGAUGUGGGUCUCCGUUUUUCUUCGAGCAUGACUCGAACGGCUACAAUUCUGUGAUGUGUACCUAAAACCUUAAAUAAAAAAAAUUUGACCUAAGAAUUUAGCUUCUCAGAAUCAACCCUAAGAAAGCUCAUUACUGACAUGCAGUAAGACUUAUAGUUACAAAAACAAACAAAACACCACACACACACAAAGGAGCAAAAAAAAGAAAUAAUCUAAAUGUCCAAAUUAAAUUGUUGUGCAUCCCUGUGCUAGCAUAUGAUGAGCUAUUAAAAAUAAGGCUGUCAAGGAACAUUUGAUGAUGUGCGGAAAAUACCAAAUAUUGUUAAGUGAAGCAGCAAGGAGGUUGCAGAGCAGAGGAUUCAGUAAAAGAAAAAUUUGAUGUCCGUAUGCAAUUUUAUGCAAAUAUAUGCAUAGGAAAAAACUAGCAGUCUGUUACUAUAAAAUGUUAAUAAUGGUUAUUUCUGGGUGGUAGGAUUACAGGUGGCUUUUGUUUUCCCUUUAUGCCUUUCUGUAUUUUCAAAAACCAUUUUUUAAGAUGGUUGUAUAAUUCUUUGGUAAUCAGAAUAAAACCCAGUAACUGUCAUCCACGGAGAACUGAGGGCCAACUCUGUGUCUGGAGCGUGCAAGGGAAGGGCCAGGGAGGGCUGUGCUUGGGUUAUCUGUGCCCAGGCCCCUGCCUCACCCAGGGCACCAGGGGUCACUUCUGAGGCGUGAGCCAGGAUGACUCAAUUCAAGUCUGUGAUGAGCUGGCCUCUCAAAGAUUCAUCAGCUCCCUGAAGAAGCAGCAUUUCGCAGUCCUGGAGGUUGGCCCCAACCAGCCCCACUACUAAUAGUGUUUGAGUGUCUCCAAUCAGUCUGUACACUCUGGUCCUGGCUCAGCCACAGAUGCUGCUCAAACAUGAGCUGGUUUUCCAAUGCCAACACCCAUUAGAAGGGACAGGUCAUUACUUAGGCUCGUGGAGGCUCCACAAAAGCUUUUAUGACCAAGCGAAGCCCCAGCAUCACCUCGGCCUCUCUCCCCACAACUCCAUCUCUCAGCUCCCAGGGAGCACCAUGUAGAAAAAUCAGAAAAGUUGUAUUCCUCCAAGCACAAUGCUGGCCAUUUUGUAAGAACAUGACUGUGUCGAUGAGCAAAGUCAACUACAGAGGUAGACAUCUCUCUUCCUGCAGUAUUUCUCAAAGUUUAGUCCUACAAUCACAUGCCCAACAUUUUCUGGCAAGAAAAUGCAGAUGUCUGGGCCUCACUCACGGUCUACCAAAAUCAGAAUUUCUAGGAGUGAGAGAGAAUUCCAAGGAUCCUAGGACAGGAGAACCACUUCCCCAAGAACUGAAAAAAGGAAAGUGAGAACGCACAAGCAUGGGGGCGAAGCAGCAUGCAGGGACACCUUGCCUGAGCUGGGUAUUCCGCUUCUGUGCACUCCAAUCUAAAAAAACUCUACCAUUUUAUUGAGUGCCUACUGUGGGCUAGACACAUACAUUAUCUCAGACAAUCCUCUUAGCCCCACUCCCACAAAGCUUUUUUUAAAUCUAGAUGAGGAAACAGUAGGACAGUUUGCUGGAAUUCAUAUACCCAAACCAAACCCAUUGCUGUUGAGUCGAUUCUGACUCAUAGUGACCCUAUAUGAUAGAGUAGAACUGCCCCAUAGGGUUUCCAGGGAGCAGCUGGUGGGUUUGAACUGCCAACCUUUUGGUUAGCAGCCAAGCUCUAAUGACUGUGCCACCAGGGGUCCAGAACUCAUAUAAGAAUUCUUUAAUUUGAACUUGAACACAGUAAAUUGUUUCUCUUUCCUCUGGUUCCUCUCUUUCCUUCUCAAACCUAAACCUAACUUGCUUUCUUUGGCUCAAAAGAGAUAAAGUAGUUUCAUCUGAGGUGAAACUCCUAAGACUCUCUACACCGCUCACCCUGUGCUAGGUCCCUUCACUAGAUGGUCCCUCUCAGUGGUUUUACAGGUCAGAAGUUGUGACUACAUAACUGCUUGUAUGGUACCUAGUGCGGGCAGUGGUGGUUUGGUGGUAAACUUCUCCUCUUCCACGUGGGAGACCCAGGUUCGAUUCCUAGCCAAUGCACCUCAAGCACAGCCACCACCCAUCUGCCAGUGGAGGCUUGCAUGUUGCUGUGAUGCUGAACAGGUUUCAGCGGAGCUUCCAGAUUACGACGGAUAUUGGAAGAAAGGUGUGAUCUACUUCUGAAAGUCAGCCGUGAAUAAGACAGAUAUUGGAAGAAAGGUGUGAUCUACUUCUGAAAGUCAGCCGUGAAAACUCCGUAGAUUAGAGCAGUCUGAUCUGCAACCAGUCACGGGGAUGGAGCAGAACUGAGGAGUGUUUGGCUACGUUGUACAUGGGAUUCCCACGAGUCAGGGGCUGACUGGACGGCAGCUGACAACAACUACAACAAAACUAUGGUGCAGAGUGCAGGGUGGGGAAUGGGUUCAGCUCGGGGCUGGCCUGUACUGCUGAGCACCUGCUCCCUGUCCUCCUCCCUGGACUCCAUUGAAGAGGGCUACGCAUUUCUGCCAUCCUGCUGGCUGUCGUGUGGAUGUGGUGUCUGCCAUCUGGACCACGAAGUACAGGUAUCCACCUAGGAAUGACAGAAUAGCAAACCACAAGGAGCAUAGCCCCUCACCAGCUUUGCAGAGGAGACCCACAUGGUAGCUUAGACUUUCUUAGCAAGAAACAAACAUGGAUCUUGCUUAAGUCAACUGUUACUUAGGGUCUAUGUUUUUUUUGUUGCAGGACUCAAAUUGAUACCUGAACCAGUCAAAGCCAUGGCCAGUCAAAAGUUAAGUUGGCAGGGAAGCUGGCUAGUGAAGCAAGAGGAGAAGACGCAGACAUACAAGGAGGAGGAAGCAGAAAAAGGAAACCAGGGAGAGGGUGGCUGGUGCCGUUCUUGGUGAUAUCCUGGUUCCCAGCACAGUUCCUGUGGGGCCCAGAGAUAUUUCUUGCUGUUGAAUUUCACAAAAUUGCCCUGUAUUCUUUAUACUUAACUACUCUGAGCAGGUUUUACUUCCUUGCAACCAAGUGAGCUGUAAUUAAAAUAAAGUGCCUUUUAUGAUUUCAUUACUAUAUUUUUACUAUUAUUAUUUUAUAUUUCUCCAGAUCUCAGAUCAUGUUUUUUUCCACAUUUUAAUAUUUCUGAAAGUCGGAUGUACUUUUUAUCUCAUGUUUAUGGUUAAUGUGUCCAUAUAAUAUUUUUUCCUCUCAAAAGUUGGUAAAUCAUGGCUUUGUUUCCCCACCACCCUCUUCCAUUUGAAUGGAUGCCAUCUUACGAGCAGAUGCUCGGUAACUAUCCAGUGGUUGAAUGAAGAACCCAGUCAGUCAUGGGUGUCAUCACAUCAGAGGAGCCGCCCCAGGACACAGCUCCCCAAGGGACUGACAAUUCUCUAGUCAAGAACUCACACUUUUCAAGGCCACACAGUACUUUGGCCCAAGCUAUUUCCAAAGCCCUGAACAUAUUCUCUCUUCCUUUAUUUUAAACUCCCACUCCAACUCUUAAAUCUUAACUCCAGUGUUCCUCUUCUGAGAGCUUUCUCAUAGAAACCCACCCACCCGUGCAUCAACAUCACCACUGCCUCCAUCCUCUCUCCCUGCUGUCACGCACUACCCACCAGAAAAGGCCAGUCAUUGCUAUCUCACCACUUGAAUCAUCAGCUCCUUUUGGGGGCAACAUCUGAACUUUUCUUGGCAGCCCAGAAGGGUGUACAGGAUGAGGUAUGUUCUCCACCAUCAACCUGGCCCCUCCUGGGCAUAGUGAUGAUGGUGGAUCUGGUGCCUAGAGCAUCUUCUUCCUCCCAACAAACUGUUGUGGGCUCUGGGAACCAGUGGGGAACAAGAGACUAACACCUAUGAAACCCUAGACUCUUGGUUCAUGUCAACACGUGUUAUCAUGAGCAGUUACCAUGGAUUAGGUCCUGAACGUGGACAGGGUGAUGUGCUGAGCUGGUUAUAGGCAUUUUUUCAUAUGAUCCUCUCUCAAAUGUAUGAGGUAGCUCUGCAGGGUGCUGGGGAUACAGAAUGAAAACAAGUGAAAAUGGUAAAAGCUCUUACCAAGGAAGAGCAGAGAACUACUCCCAGAGGGGAAGGGCCUGGGUCUGCACUGGGAGCUGCUCUUCUUGGUGCUUUGCCUGACACGCUCCUUUGCCCCUUUUGGCUACAGUUUGAGGAGAUGUUGAUUUGAGCCCAGGUACAGUGUGAGUGUAGGCACAUGGGGCUGCAUCCCCCCUGGGAGCUCCCAACUGUGAGAAAAUCUGACCUGUGGUCCCAGGCCUGACCUCUAGGUCUCCAGUUUCCCUGUGUUUCGGGCUUGCCCAGGAUGACUGGGGGAUUGGGCUGUUUCCCUGCCUCAUGUAGGACAAGUGCCCUGCCCCGCAUUCUCAGGAGACCUAACCCCCUGCCCAGCCAAUGUCAGAGAGAGGCUGACAAAGGGCCUACUCAAGAUCUUUCUGAUCCUGGAGCUAAGAUGACAGGGCCUGAGGGGGGCGCAGUCAGAGGGGAGAGAGGAGAACUGGGAGUGCCGGGUCACAGAUGGAGCCCAUGUCAGCUGUCAGCGGUGUGCCUGGUCUUGCCUGGAAGUGAAGGAUGGAGCAGAGGUGUUGGGAUUUGGUCAUCAGGAGGUCACUGGAGACCUUCAGGAAGGCACUUCUGGGGAGUAGACUGGGGAGCUGGGAUGUGGGGUCAGGGGCUCUCCCUGGCAGGUGGAGCAUGGUCUCAAGAGCUGGAAGGGACUUUGGCCUGGGGCUUUCCAGAACUACCUGGUGUCACUUGAGCAAUGUCAUCAAGGGAACCCCACCCCAGCUUCUCAGCUCUUCCUCCCUAAGUCCUGGCUGGGGGUGUGGAUCCUAAGGCAGAAUGGGGGGCCCUCAAGCUGCCCUUUGGAGCUGGGCAGGCAGGUUUACAGAACAAUUACAUGGGCCAGGUGUAGAGAGUGUUUGCCUAUGAUAUGCAUAUGAUUUCCAUGUGAAUAGCCUGGACUUUCUCUUCCAAGGUAAUUUUCAAGUUAAAUAUUAAUUGUUGCUGCCCUUACGAUUUAAUGUCUUGAUUCUGCUUUCUCUGUUCCUUCUCACCCAUUUGCUGUCAAUGACUCACGUCUCUGUAUGGCGGGGGAGGAGGAGGGAGCUGCCAGGGCAGGCUGGGAGGGUGGGCUGAGGCUCUAAAGUACAGUGCUGGCCAUGCUGACGCCAGGUGGGGCGGGACGUGGGUGCUGAUGGGAGCUGACAGAUGUUGAACUGACAUCUCCUAUGCAUAGAAAAGCAAUAGGGCCAGUGGCUCAGAGUGGGGAGAGGGAUGACUAGGUGGAGUAUGAGGCAUUUUUUAGGGCAGUGAAACUGUUCUGCAUGAUGCUAUAAAUACUAGCAUGCAUUUGUCGAAACCUAUAAAAUUGUGAAUCUUAAUGUAAACUAUAGACUUUGUUUAAUAACACUGCUUUAAUACUGGUUCAUCAAUGACAACAAAUGCACCAUAGGAAUGCAAGAUGUUAAUAAUAGAAGGAACAGUGGGCUGGGGAGAGAGAGGGUAUAUGAGAACUUGUACUUGGUACACAGUUUGUCAGGAAACCGAAAAUUGCUCUGAAGAAUAAAGUCUACUAAAAAAAAAAAAAAAGGAAGAAAUAGGCAGAUGAAGUAACACAUCAGCCAGUGCUGUUAGAGAAACUUCCCAAGAUCCCCCUGCUCCAAUCAGGAUCAAUCUCUCUCAUGUAGAGACCGAGGCCCCAGGCCCCACCCCAGGCCAAAGGGCAGUGCCAGGAACCUGCUGCUAUCUGCCUGCUGUCUGGAGCUUCCAUGCACAGCUGCCUGCUGCCCCGAGCUUCCAUGCACAGCUGCCUGCCGUCCGGAGCUUCCAUGCACAGCUGCAUGAAGGCAGGGAAGGAUGAACCCUGCUGUGGGCAGAGCAGAGCAGAGCAGAGCAGUGGUUAGGUCAUGGGCUCUGGGGUCUGGGGCACCUGGAUUUGGAGCCUUGCUCUGUCUUUUACUAACUGUGCAACUUUGGGCAAGUGACUUGCCAUCUGUAUGCCUCAGUUUCCUCUUCUGUAAAAGGGAAUUCCUACUAGUGCCUAAUUCAUGCUGGCAUUGUAGGAUGAAGCACUUACCCAGGGCCUGCCUGGCACACAGACUGUGCACAGUGCAACUGGGCUCUAGAUAUUUCCAUCCCAGGUGUGAGGGCCCCCUGACCCCAGUAAUUGCGCAGUGCAGUGCGCCCUCAGCCGGCAUUUGAUCAUCCAGCUCUGGCUUGAAGGGUUCCUGCAGCAAAGGCACCAGUUCUGCUCUCCUGACGGUUGUUUCCUGACACACACAUUAUAACCACAUUAAAGGCCCUUUGAAAAGGGAGCUGAGAGCUUUUCCAGGCAGCGUCUCCUGUUCUUGAAUGGCUCUCAUCAGGAGAAGGAAAUUCCUUGGGCUGAGUUGAAAUCUCCCUCCCAGAGCCACCCCUGGGAAUGAAUUCAAGGCCUGUCCUUUGGGGUAGCACAGGCACUUAGCUCCCUCUUUCCUCUGAGGGCUCAUCAAAGAUUUCAGGGUGAUGCUCACUUCCUGGGUCUGCUGUUCCUAAGCCCCUUAGACAAAACACCUUGCCUUUUGCCCCAGAACAUGGUGGGGCCACACACACUGGUCUACCCUGACCCACUGAUGAGGUGGAAACCCCUUUUCGGGUUUUCUUACUGUGGUACCUCAUUGGGUCCGUAUAGUCCUCCUGGGAGGUGGGAAGAGCAUCCUAAACCUGAAGGUGCUUUAGGUGCGUGUUCUCUUUUAAUCCUCACGCAACUCUAAGAUAUAACUGCUAUUACUAGCCCCAUUUCAUAGCCACGGGAAAUGAGGCUUACCGAGGCUAAGGAAUUUGCCCCAAAUUGCUCAGCUUUUAUGCUGGAGAGGCCUUAUGUCACCCAGGCAAGCUGGCUCCAGCCACGACUACUAAGUGCUGCUGGGCCACCUCUCUCAAAGUAGUUUUCUCACAAUUGGGGUUUCUUUUCUUUUUCUUCCACAAGAGGUGACUGGGGCUCAACACAUGAGUUCUUCUAGAAUUUUCCUCUCUGUGUCUGUGUUGUGUGCAUACUAACGUAAGAAGCAAUGGUUCUUUAUUUCCUUUGGUUUCCCUUGUAGACCUGAGGCCUUGAAUUCACCGGCAGCUCCCUUAAAACCUGCUCCCACUGCUGUCGAGUCAAUUCUGACUCACAGUGACCCUAUAGGGCAGAGUAGAACUGCCCCCAUAGAGUUUCCAAGGAACGCCUGGGGGAUUCGAACUGCUAACCUUUUAGUUAGCAGCCGUAGCACUUAACCACUUCGUCACCAGGGUUUCUGGCAGCUCCCUUAGGCAUGGUGAAUCAGCCUGUUCUGUCUUGGGUCUAUGCUUUCCCCUCCCCUCACCUCGAAGCUCUGUGAGAAGGGCACUGGUUUCCUUCCAUCACGAGCUCCAACCUAGAUUUCUCCUCCUUCUUCCAUGUUACCAUCCUCAAACCUGCUCACAUCUGCUUGACCUCAGGCCGGUCCCAGGCUGAGCACUUUCAGCAGCUCAGAUACCUGGGCCCUGACCUCCCAGAAAAACACAAUUUCCAGAUUGGCUCUCUGAGCUAGGCAGUCCAUGAGUUUCCCCCAGGACAAAGAGCCAAAUCUCCACUUAAGUGGGUAAAAUUGCUGACCCCUCUUAAUGGCCAUGACCCUAUUAUUGAAGCUGCAUCCAAAUCUUGUAUUUUUAUUAAGUUCAGCAGAAAAUCCAGAAUUCUCUCUGCAAAACUCAGCUGUGAAUCAAUAUACUUAGGGAGGGGGCCGAUCCUUGAGAAAAUGGGUAAGAAAUGGACUUUCUCACCUUGGCACCUUGUUUAGUCCAUAUAGUUCUGGGAGGAGAGAAGGUGAGAAGAACACCCUGACUGUGCCACACUCUCUGGGUGCACGCUCUCUUUUAAUCCUCUCAACAACUCUAAGAUGUAAAUGCUAUUAUUAUCCCCAUUUCACAGCUAGGGGAACUGAGGGUCCCUCAUUUUGUUCACAUUCCCAGGGGUUGAAUUGUUUCCCCCCAAAAUGUGUGUCAGCUUGGCUAGGCUAUAAUUCCCAGUACUGUGUGAUCGUCCACUGUUUUGUUAGCUGAUGUAAUUUUCCCAUGUGACGUUAAUGAGGCAGGAUUAGAGGCAGUUAUGUUAAUGAGGCAGGACUCAGUCUACAAGAUUAGGUUGUAUCUUGAGUCAAUCUCUUUUGAGACAUAAAAGAGAGAUGUGAACAAAGACAUAGGGACCUCAUACCACCAAGCAAGAGGAGCCAGGAGUGUGUGUCCUUUGGGACCAGGGUCGCUGUGCAGAGAAGCUCCUAGACCAGGGGAAGAUUGAGGACAGGGACCUUCUUCCAGAGCUAACAGAGAAAGCCUUCCCCUGGAGCUGGCACCCUGAAUUCAGACUUCUAGCCUCCUAGACUGUGAAAGAAUAAAUUUCUGUUUUUUGUUGAAGCCAUCCACUUGUGGUAUUUCUGUUAUAGUAGCAGUAGAUAACUAAGACACAGGUCUAGGCCAGGGUUUUUGUAGGGAAAUAGGUCUAGGUCAGGGUUUUUCUGUAAAACUCCAGGAGCCUGUGAAGUAUUAGGAGACUCAGUCAAUUCUGACUGUAUUGGGAAUACCAAAUAAAUAAGUGAAUCUUUACUUUGUAAAUCCAGGAAGGAACACCUGGGAAGAGGAGUCCACUUAGCCAUUUUCUUGGUUACCCAGACAAAGCAUAACUACUGGCUAGCAUGGUUGCUGCUGGGGAUGGUGGAAGUUCAAAUCCAGCCCUUCAGGUGCCAUCCAUCCCAUCAGGAAGAAUUCAGGAGUAGCAGAGGGAGCACCAGCCUGGGAAUGGUGGAAACCCGAUUCUAGUACCAUCUCUACCAAGACGUUUACUUUCCCUCACUGGUCCUCAGACUCUGCAAAAUAAAGAGGUUGGCUGAAAUUACCUUGCCCAGGUUUUUAAAACUGUGGAGCCCUUUCUUGAAAAGAAAUUUUAUGAGAAAGCCCAGAACAUAGAACAAAUAAAAAGGGAAGCUGCUUGGGCUGAGGCAUGGUGUCCCCUGGGGAUGGUUCCCCCAGAUCCCUAGGAAAUAUAACAUGUAAGUUUGGAAAAUAUUUCUUAUCUGCUCUCUAGCCACCCUUCAGCUCCAGGGAAACCCAAAGGAGACUCUGAUGUUUGGAACUCAGACUUUGUCCAGAGAAAGACCACCUGUGGCCCUGGAGGGGCAGGGCAGCUGAGAUGCCAUGUUGGUAGAGUUCUGUUGUACCACACUUGGCAACCUCUUUCCUUCCUUUCUUCUCAUCCUUCUCCAGCUUAUUAUUCUCCUUCUUUUCCCUCUCCCUUUGGCACUUGGGAGUAGGGCCAGUAGUAAUCUUCACUGCAUGGCCUAAAAGCUGCUGAGUCUUAAUAUAGAGGGAUCUUCCAGCCUACUGACGGCAUGAAAAAACAUUCUUCAAUGAAGUCCCCAGCAAUGGCUCGCACCACCUGGAGAAUGGCCAUGGUAGGUCCACCUUUGGGAAUGAGUGAGGAGGGGUUGCUAAAAACAGGCCAUUAGAUUUUGAAUUUAUCGCCUCCUUUACCUGAGAUACAGUGUCAAUGUUGCUGGGAGAAAUGUCUUUUAAUGUCUUGGAUCAUUAAAACCCAAUAAUCUCUUUGAAAUGGCUGAACUGCUUACUGCAAGGAGAUAAAGUAAAUAAAACUGCUUCUCUGUGUCUGCUGUCACCAUAUUGGUAGAGCAUUUCUUUCCUUUUUUAUAACUGCAUUCAUUUUAUUUCAGGCCCAUGCAUUUAUGCCAUGCUGGUGGUAUAUAAAUUUGGUAAUUAAAUCCUGUUAUCUUGACACUAUGGGUAGAAAGAGAAGCAGUUGUGAUGCUUCAGAGAGGAAAAACACAGUGAGGAGGGAAAAGAAGAUUUGUUUUGUAUUACUAAAAAAAAUGGUUUCAUAGAGUCUUUUUUUUUAGUACUAGAUAGUUGACAGAUGCCUGACAAGCAGAGAGCUCCUUCUGUGCAGAAGGAUUCCAACUGACCUUGUGAAAUUACUCUUCUGCUUUGUUGUGUAUCCCAGCAGAGCAGAAAGUGUAUGUUAUUGGUAAACUCACAGACCUUGUAUUUUGUCUAAGCUCUAUGGCUUAUAAGAUGUGUGACCUUAGACAAGUCCUAAGACCUUCUGAAUCUAUCAGGAUGCUUUGGGUUGCAAGUAAAAGAAAUUCCAGCCCUGAGUGACUGAAUAAUUAAAAAACAAUUUUAUAUCCUAUGACAAGAAGUUGUGAUUAAAGAUAACUCAAGAUAUGCCAGCAGCUCAUCAAUGUAAUGAAGAACCAGCUUCUUCCCAACAUCUUCCUUUGCCGUCUGCAGUGUAUUAGCAUGGACUCCCAGCCUUGCAGCCCCUGUGAUUACAAGAUGGCAGCCUCAGGUUUAAGAUUCUCAUGCUGACCCAACAAUGUUCAGCAGAAGAAGGCGGCCUGUCUCUUUUAUCAGGAAGAAAAUAUUUCUAGAAGCCUUCUAGAAGAUGUGGCAUCAUAUCCCCUUCCCCAGAAGUGUGUCACAUACCUACCUGUAAACCAAUAACUGGAAAAGAGAAGGGGCUCAUCACUACUGGCUUACAUAAAUCGUGAUUUCCUCUCCCUGCCCUCAGGCUGAUGAUGGGGCUCCUGAAGUAUAUGGCCAGGCAGAGAAGUUGGGAUACCUGAGUAAAAUCAGGGUUGUAUUGGAAAGGAGGAAGAGGUGUGCAGG